AUUCCAGCUCCAAUAGCGUAUAUUAAAGUUGUUGCAGUUAAAAAGCUCGUAGUUGGAUUUCCGGCGUGAGGGAUCAGUCUGACUUCUAGUCAGUACUUGGUCCUCUCAUGCCGUCCUUGAAUGGUGCAUCCUGGCAUUAAGUUGUCGGGGUGAGAGCCGUUCAUCGUUUACUGUGAGAAAAUUAGAGUGUUCAAAGCAGGCUUAUGCCGUUGAAUAUAUUAGCAUGGAAUAAUAAGAUAGGACUUUGGUACUAUUUUGUUGGUUUGAGAACCAAGGUAAUGAUCAAUAGGGACAGUUGGGGGUAUUCGUAUUCAGUUGUCAGAGGUGAAAUUCUUAGAUUUCCGGAAGACGAACUACUGCGAAAGCAUUUACCAAGGAUGUUUUCAUCG
rnacentral:rRNA from 1 species